AGAGUUUGAUCAUGGCUCAGAACGUACGCUGGCGGCACGCCUAACACAUGCAAGUCGAACGCAGUAGCAAUACUGAGUGGCAAACGGGUGAGUAUAAUGUGGGAAUCUGCCUUUUGGUUUGGAAUAACACGGGGAAACUUGUGCUAAUACCGAAUAAGCCCUUACGGGGAAAGUUUUAAUGCCGAAAGAUGAGCCCGCACUUGAUUAGCUAGUUGGUAAGGUAAAAGCUUACCAAGGCAACGAUCAAUAGCUGUUCUUAGAGGAAGACCAGCCACAUUGGGACUGAGACACGGCCCAGACUCCUACGGGAGGCAGCAGUGGGGAAUCUUGCACAAUGGGGGAAACCCUGAUGCAGCGAUGCCGCGUGAGUGAAGAAGGCCCUUGGGUUGUAAAACUCUUUCGUCGGGGAAGAAAAUGACUGUACCCGAAUAAGAAGGUCCGGCUAACUUCGUGCCAGCAGCCGCGGUAAUACGAAGGGACCUAGCGUAGUUCGGAAUUACUGGGCUUAAAGAGCUCGUAGGUGGUUAAAAAAGUUGAUGGUGAAAUCCCAAGGCUUAACCUUGGAACUGCCAUCAAAACUUUUUAGCUAGAGUGUGAUAGAGGUAAGUGGAAUUUCUAGUGUAGAGGUGAAAUUCGUAGAUAUUAGAAAGAACACCAAAAGCGAAGGCAACUUACUGGGUCACUACUGACACUGAGGAGCGAAAGCAUGGGUAGCGAAGAGGAUUAGAUACCCUCGUAGUCCAUGCCG
rnacentral:rRNA from 1 species